GCGGGGGGCGGGCCGGCUUUGACCGAGACCCGCCGGCGCGACGGCUCUGCGCCUCACACCUUCCUCCUUUGUGCGACGGGAGUUGGCGGAGCAGUCCCUGCCCGAGUGCGUUAAAUGUGAGGUCCGUAGCACGCAGGCCCGCAGUGACUGACAACCGUUGUUACUGUGGUCCCCGCGGAGGCCUCCGGGCCGCCCCUCACGUCGGUCCCCUUCCCUUGCCCGAGUGCCCUGCGCAGCCGGCACCACCGUCCCGCACCCUCUGAUUUUAUUCACUGCAGCGGCGAAGGCCGGCGCACGGUAGUUGCUAAGCCCCUGUGGAAUGAUUGAACGGGGCCCGGCUUUGCAGCUGGGACUCCUACCCGCCCCUCUCUCCCCGUCACGUCCGCUCCCGGUGCAAACUGGUGUGCGCUUGAUGCGCUUUCAGGGCUCGAACUUAAAGUCAGGGGUCAGCAUGGAACUCCAGGGUUGCUUUUUGGCUCCUUUGGGUGUUCCCCGGCUCGAUGUGCCCCCCCACCCCCACCCCAGUACCGGGGUGACAGGGGACGGGAAGGGGAAACGACACCUCAGCCACCACGACCUACGCCGGACGCCGGGAGGCUGAGUUUUUGGUCUCUGCAAGUAAUCCUGCAGUGAAAUACCCAGGUGCAUCUACCCGUCUGCUCUGCUGCUUUUGUUCUGCGGAGUGGACAGUUAGAGAGAGAGAGAGAGAAAGGUCUUCCUUUGCCGUUGGUUCACUCCCCAAUGGCCACCGCGGCCAGCGUACUACGGCCGGUGCACCGCGCUCAUCCAAAGCCAAGAGCCAGGUGCUUCUCCUGGCCUCCCAUGGGGUGCAGGGCCCAAGCACUUGGGCCAUCCUCCACUGCACUCCCUGG